UACGUAGGGUGCAAGCGUUGUCCGGAAUUAUUGGGCGUAAAGGGCUCGUAGGCGGUCCAUCGCGUCGGGAGUGAAAAGCUGGGGCUUAACCCCAGUCCUGCUUCCGAUACGGGUGGACUAGAGGUAGGUAGGGGAGAACGGAAUUCCUGGUGUAGCGGUGAAAUGCGCAGAUAUCAGGAGGAACACCGGUGGCGAAGGCGGAUCUCUGGGCCUUACCUGACGCUCAGGCGCGAAAGCUAGGGGAGCGAACAGG
rnacentral:rRNA from 1 species